rnacentral:rRNA from 1 species
UACGUAGGGUGCAAGCGUUGUCCGGAAUUAUUGGGCGUAAAGAGCUCGUAGGCGGUCUGUUGCGUCGGCUGUGAAAACCCGGGGCUCAACCCCGGGCCUGCAGCCGAUACGGGCAGACUAGAGUUCGGCAGGGGAGACUGGAAUUCCUGGUGUAGCGGUGGAAUGCGCAGAUAUCAGGAGGAACACCGAUGGCGAAGGCAGUUCUCUGGGCCGUAACUGACGCUGAGGAGCGAAAGCGUGGGGAGCGAACAGG